rnacentral:rRNA from 1 species
UACGUAGGGGGCAAGCGUUGUCCGGAUUCAUUGGGCGUAAAGGGUGCGUAGGUGGUUUGUUAAGUCUGCUGUGAAAUCCCCGGGCUCAACCUGGGAAUGGCAGUGGAUACUGGCAAGCUGGAGUGCGGUAGAGGGUAGUGGAAUUCCCGGUGUAGCAGUGAAAUGCGUAGAGAUCGGGAGGAACACCAGUGGCGAAGGCGGCUACCUGGACCAGCACUGACACUGAGGCACGAAAGCGUGGGGAGCAAACAGG